CAAAUAACCUACGUAUUUAUAAUAUUGACACAAAUGACAUUUUUAGUAAAAAAAAAAAAAUAUGCACACAUUAGGGGGAUUGGACACGUUUGGGUGUUUAUUAAAAUUGGACAUGUUUGGGCUUUUAUACAACUGACAUGCAUUGGCGCUGUUUUACAACUUAGACAUGUUUUGCAGUUCAGUAACGUCAUGAGGACACGUUUGGGGGAAUAGGACACUUUUAGG
rnacentral:lncRNA from 1 species